AUGCAAUCUGGUUUCAGAGCUGGUCAUGGGUGCAACUCAGCCACGCUCAAGGUUCUAAACGACAUCAUAACCGCCAUCGAUAAGAGACAUUACUGUGCAGCCGUAUUCAUCGACCUGGCCAAGGCUUUCGACUCUGUCAAUCACAACAUUCUUAUUGGCAGACUCGACAGCCUUGGUUUCUCAAAUGAUUGUCUCGUCUGGUUUACCGACUACUUCUCUGAUAGAGUUCAGUGUGUCAAAUCGGAGGGCCUGUUGUCUGGACCUCUGACAGUCUCUAUGGGUGUGCCACAGAGUUCAAUUCUCGACACCAUUCUGUAUACUUCUGGCCCCUCCUUGGACACUGUGUUAACUAACCUCCAGACGAGCUUCAAUGCAAUACAACUCUCCUUUCGUGGCCUCCAACUGCUCUUAAACGCAAGUAAAACUAAAUGCAUGCUUUUCAAUCGAUCGCUGCCUGCACUUUCUCGCCCGUCCAGCAUCACUACUCUGGACGGCUCUGACUUAGAAUACGUGGACAACUACAAAUACCUGGGUGUCUGGUUAGACUGUAAACUCUCCUUCCAGACUCACAUUAAGCAUCUCCAAUCCAAAAUUAAAUCCAGAAUCGGCUUCCUAUAUCGCAACAAGGCAUCCUUCACUCAUGCUGCCAAACAUACCCUCGUAAAACUGACCAUCCUACCGAUCCUCGACUUCGGUGAUGUCAUAUAUAAAAUAGCCUCCAACACUCUACCCAACAAACUGGAUGCAGUCUAUCACAGUGCCAUCCGUUUUGUCACCAAAGCCCCAUACACUACCCACCAUGGCGACAUGUACGCUCUCGUUGGUUGGCCCUCGCUUCAUACUCGUCGCCAAACCCACUGGCUACAGGUUAUCUACAAGUCUCUGCUAGGUAAAGCCCCGCCUUAUCUCAGCUCACUGGUCACCAUAGCAGCACCCACUCGUAGCACGCGCUCCAGCAGGUAUAUCUCACUGGUCACCCCCAAAGCCAAUUCCUCCUUUGGUCGUCUGUCCUUCCAGUUCUCUGCUGCCCAUGACUGGAACGAAUUGCAAAAACCUCUGAAGCUGGAGACUCACAUCUCCCUCACUAGCUUUAAGCACCAGCUGUCAGAGCAGUUUACAGAUCACUGCACCUGUACUUAG
ensembl:lncRNA